CCUAGUGCCUCCAUGUCUCUCAGUGCCUCAAGUGUCACAAUGUCCCCAUGUUUCCAAGCUAGUGGCCCUGGUGUCUGUGUCCCCGUGUCUCCCAGUCCCCCCAUGUCUCAAUGUCCCCAUGUCCCCCAGCCAGUGUCUCUAGUGUCUGUGUCCCAGGUGUCUGUGUCCCCAUGUCUUCAAGUGUCCCCUAUUUUCCCAUUGUCCCCAUGUGUCCCAGCCAGAGUCCCCUAGUCUCCCAGUGUCACUGGUGUCUCCAUGUCCCUAGGUCUCCCCAGGUCUCCCCGUCUUCCUAGUGUCCUAGUGACAUGGGGACCCUGGGAUACAUGAGGACACAGGGAGACAUGGGGCAUUGAGACACUGUGAUACCUGGGGACAUAACACUGGGAGACAUGGGGCACUGAGACACUGAUACACUGAUACAUAGGAACACUGAG